rnacentral:tmRNA from 1 species
GGGGGUGAACUGGCUUCGACUUUGAAGGUUGAGGUGUCGGAAGCGAGCCGAGGUCCCCGGAGUCCUCGUUAAAGAGCCGGGAAACAAUACAAGUGCCGAAGAUAACUUCGCACUAGCUGCUUAAUUGACAGCUCGUCCUCCCGGUGGGCGCCUGCCUCGCCGGAUCAGGGCGUCGCAAUGCAGGAUGCCCCCGCCGGGGUCCGGGACCGGUGGGGAAAGACCAACUCCGGAUACGGCUGAAGGAAACUUGCUGACAGAGUCCUGAGGCCCGACAAACUCGCUGUCGGCUGCGCUCGGAGAUGCCGGCGCUGAAACUUCAGAGGACCGGGGUUCGAAUCCCCGCACCUCCACAG